CAGCAGCCGCGGUAAUACGUAGGGUGCGAGCGUUAAUCGGAAUUACUGGGCGUAAAGCGUGCGCAGGCGGUAUAUAAGACAGAUGUGAAAUCCCCGGGCUCAACCUGGGACCUGCAUUUGUGACUGUAUAGCUAGAGUACGGUAGAGGGGGACGGAAUUCCGCGUGUAGCAGUGAAAUGCGUAGAUAUGCGGAGGAACACCGAUGGCGAAGGCAAUCCCCUGGACCUGUACUGACGCUCAUGCACGAAAGCGUGGGGAGCAAACAGGAUUAGAUACCCCUGUAGUCCCUGUCUCUUAUACA
rnacentral:rRNA from 1 species